GGUUUAGAUGCCUCUGGCAGUACUUUUGCCUAGAGGGCAGAGACAGUCCUUGGUGAGAGGGGAGCAGGGAACAGCCCUGAACCCCAGCUGGUGCCCUGCUCCUUCUCACUGCUGCAGCUACUCCAGGUGUCCUGGGAGAGGAGCUGGGCUGGCACACAGGUUGUGUGUGGCCAGUGAUGGUUCCAUUCAGGCAGGAGAGUGGUGUGCAGACCCACAGCAGGGAAGGGCACAUGGAUAUAGGAAAGGAAAUGCACUAGAAGUUGGAUUUGUUAAUAGCUUUCUCUGGCCUGUUAUGAAACACUUCAAAUUUGGAAACAAUUUUCUCAGCACACCUGUUGAGGGGAGAAACAAGGCUCCUUCAACCAUCAAUCUGUGGGACCUCAGAGCUCAGCCUGAAAGCAAAGGCGAAACGAAAUACGAAAAUUGCAGUGCAGCAGAAGAGGAGUCAGCUGUCUGCGGGCCUCUGCUGAAAUCCCAUCUUUCGGCACUAAAACCUGAAACUUGGCUGAACUUGAGAUUCAUGAGAGCUCUCAGCUGCAGUUAUUCUGCUGUGCACUGCUCCUUCUUCUUCCACAGUGGAGGUGUCAAGGUAGGGAUAUAGUCCAUACUUCUUUGUUCCAGUGUUGUACCAGAGCCACAGGUCAGAGUCACUUUGAAUUUGAUCUGACUGAGAACACACAUUGCAUCCUUAUUUUUGUCUGUCCCAGUUCUGUGCUGGGUGCCAGUCACCCUCUGGCCAUGAAUUAACUCUGCACUGUGCUCUGAACAUGGUGGAUACAGGACUCUGGUAUAUGAUGCAGGACUAUCUUCUGUGGUAACUCCUGGCUGUCCUCCUUCCUUGGAUGAGCCCAGAGACCUCACUGGGAGCCGAGUGUAUUGUGGGGAAGCCUUGAGCCUGCUGUGAAUGAAUAGAUUUGGCACUAGGUGAGACAAACUAAUGGGUUUUUUAGUCACAAAGUUGUUUUUGCCUUUAAGUUUCUGCACUUCAAAUACUUCUUAAAAUAUUUAAAUACUGUUCCAUGCAGCUGUCACUGCUCCCUUGGGAGGGAGACAUCCACAUGCUCAUGGCAACAGAGGUUGGUCACUCACCAUCUUCCUGAGACUUAACAGCACCAUCCUGGUGGCAGCACCACCUCUGAUUCUGAGCCUUGAGGCUGUUUGUUGUCUCUGGCAGGCUUAGCAUUCACUUGGUAGCUUUUCCUGUACUGUCACAGUCAGAAAUCAGCAGAGGAGUCAGUUAUGAUAGUAUGCACUUUUUAAGCCUGGUUUGGUUUCUUCUAUAGACUGGACAUGUCUGGGCAGGUGUAAAGGCUGUUCUUUUUCCUCAUGUUGGCUAAUGUGACCUCAAACCUAGUUUGAGCAGGGUUUUUCAAAUGUUCUAAGAUUUUAGGGAAGGGAAAGGUCUUUUCAAGCUGCUUUUCAGGACUUUCAGGGUACUCCUUGGAGUAUUUAAUGCCUUAGCAAUAGCUCACUGCUCUACAAAUAUGACCAGAGCCACCACAAACCAGUUGCUUCUCUGCCACAACUUUGUGACUAAGCUUUCCCACUGUAAUGGUGGUUUUGGUGCUUUUUAAAAUUUUCUAAGUUCUGCUCUCUGUUACAUCUGAUACACCUGUUAUGAUUUUGGAUUUGAAUCAGGUGAGGAGCGUUCAAGUUGGAAUCUGAGUUUUGCCACAAGCUGAUGUGAGAGAGGAAUUCUCUUCAGCCACCUGUGUCUCCCUUAUUCUGGGUGUAAAAGUGGAUUUACAGUCCUUAGCCCUUCCCCAUUUAACUGAAAGCUUUUGGAAGGAUAAUCUUCUUACUCCUUUGGUAGGGUGGCUUGCUUUUUUGAUUGGGUUGUUGGUUUUUUGGUUUUUUUUUUGACUGAUAGCUCCAGUUUUUAAUAUAAUGCCAACAUUAAAUAACGAGAAAUUAGUAAAACAACACUUCUUCCCACCCUGUAUAUGGUACACCAUACCACAGUGCCAAGUACUUUUUGUUGCGAAGAACUAAACAAGCCUCUACACUUCUUCAUGGGGAAUGGCCACAAAGGAGGGAGGGAAGACAAGACAAAUUUUUUUGACAGUCUUUUAUUUUGAAAUUCCAAGCUGAAUGGCUUGCAUGGACUCGCUAGCCAAGGGGAGAAGAGGUGCCAGUGAAGUUUUAACACCACAGUGUUAACACAAUUUUAGUCCUUUCCUUUUCUCUCUAUCCAUUUUUGUCCUGAAAGUCACAUUUAUGAACGUAUUUUGUGGCAUUGCUAUCUGAUGCUUACAUAAUAUCUUUGCAUGCUUGUAUCUAGUAUUGAAUAUUAUUUGCACAUUUUAAUAUUUUCAUAAAAAACAGCUGAGUAGCCCCUCUGUGUUUCAUGCAAGGCGCAUGCCUUGGGUUCAAUGGGGCAUCUCCUCUCCAAGCACUGCCCACACCAACUGGCACUGCUAGAGGCUUGGCUGCCUUUUCCACAGUGCUUUCUCAGGGUGCCUGGUACUCAGACUGCCAGCACAAAAGCUGAUUCAGACCAGCUUGAUGCUCAGGUAUACUGAGAACUGAACCACAAGCAGAUACCAUCAAAACACAUUUCACUUGUGACCUUUCACAGCCAAUGAAUUGGAGGGAUUUUCCUUUGCUGUGGAUCAAAUUUAAAACUACUUCCCAGGAGUGAAAGGUCAUCUCGUGGAGUCAUGAUAUCCAGUUAAAUACAGCUAAAUAGAACUCGUUAGCAUCACAAUGAAUGGAGUUAUAUAUUACCUGCUCUGGAGGAUGACUGGGGUGGGUGGGGUAGAUCCCUCAUCACCCUUAAUAAAGCACCACAAUAGCGAGAAAAGGCACAAAGAGCACAAUUUGACUAAAUCUGCCCUUUAAAUCUGUUUCUUCUGGCCAGCAAUAUGAGUGGUCAGAAAAACAUGGGAAAUGUCACAUAAAGGAUGUAUUCUCCUCUUGCCAUGUUUGCAUUCGCGGGAGCUACAAUUCCAUCCAAGUGAGAAUAUACAAUAUAGCAGCUCCCGGCGGGGCUUUGAUCUGCAGAUACAGCCUGCUCUGAGGAAAAAGGAAAUCCAGUGAUCUUGUGUCUGAAAUUAGAUUCCCACAGAGGGGCAAGCUGCCCCUCUAGACACUAUCUGAUUGGCAGAAGGACUUAAUAUUUAAGUGGAUCCAUGACAUCUUUUAUCCUGCCAAGCCAUCUCCCUUCUGGGGAGUAUUUCUUGCUCUCCAGCCCUUUCCUAAUGAUUGUUAUUUCAGCCUUGCUGUUUCUGGUCAUACUUCAUGAGGACUGAGUGUAAAGCUGCAUGGCUCUUUCCUCAGCAUUGGCAGCAGGUCAGGGAUGUGAAAUGAGUGCAGGAGGCUUUGGGAUCUUUGGUGAAGAGGCUGUCUCAGAUGGGGAGGAUUCACACACAAAAGUUGGUGUUAUCAUCCUGUGAAGUGAAUAGCUCAUAGUCAAUCAUUUACCUUGGUGAUCUGACUUUUUUUUUUCUCUCCCCUACUUGGCAUUCUUGGGUCUUUGUAUUCUGCUUCUCUGUUUUCUGGGGGAGGGAAGGAUAGAUGAGAUCAAAGUGAAGGAUCAGCUUCUUUGUUUAUAUUAAAUAAAGGACUGUGAAUUCUCUCAACCUUUUUUUACAAGUGGCUCCUUUGCCUAUAUGUGUUGCUUUGAUUUUUCUGUACUUAUUCAAGGCUUAAUGUUCAUAACAGCCAAGCGAGUUACUUUCAUUAGGAGUCAAACAGAGCUGGGCAUCUACAGAGGUUCUUAUGCUGCUUAGUUCUUAAGGGAUCAUAGGGAUCUCUGCUCUAGUGUCCAGUAAAACUGAAUGUUGGGACUGGUGAACUCAAAAAACCCACCUCAGGUAGCAAAUCUGAGGACAAGCAGGGAUAUGUAUGCUUCAAGCCAUGAUGGAUGAGCUGUCACUUUGCUGUUGUAGAUGGUGUUGGAUUUCUUCUCUGGCUGGUUAAAGCAGGACCCAAACUGCAGCAGCUGUAAGAGAAAUAAAUGAGCUUUUGCAUGUCUAGUGGCUACAGUGCCCUGCUCCUGAUCUUCCCCCACCACUGCUGCCUCUCAACGUCAGGGCCAGCAGUGUGCUGCAAUUCAAGAACCAAGGAAGAUCAAAACCAAAUUUUUUUCCAAGUCAUCU
rnacentral:lncRNA from 1 species